rnacentral:misc_RNA from 1 species
AACAUCGCGCACCUGCGGGAACCUGCGGAGGGAUCAUUACCGAGUUUACAACUCCCAAACCCCUGUGAACAUACCACUUGUUGCCUCGGCGGAUCAGCCCGCUCCCGGUAAAACGGGACGGCCCGCCAGAGGACCCCUAAACUCUGUUUCUAUAUGUAACUUCUGAGUAAAACCAUAAAUAAAUCAAAACUUUUAGCAAUGGAUCU